GGAAUUUUGGACAAUGGGCGCAAGCCUGAUCCAGCAAUGCCGCGUGAGUGAAGAAGGCCUUCGGGUUGUAAAGCUCUUUUGUCAGGGAAGAAACGGUGACCUCUAAUAUAGGUUGCUAAUGACGGUACCUGAAGAAUAAGCACCGGCUAACUACGUGCCAGCAGCCGCGGUAAUACGUAGGGUGCAAGCGUUAAUCGGAAUUACUGGGCGUAAAGCGUGCGCAGGCGGUUUUGUAAGACUGUCGUGAAAUCCCCGGGCUCAACCUGGGAAUGGCGAUGGUGACUGCAAGGCUAGAGUUUGGCAGAGGGGGGUAGAAUUCCACGUGUAGCAGUGAAAUGCGUAGAUAUGUGGAGGAACACCGAUGGCGAAGGCAGCCCCCUGGGUCAAAACUGACGCUCAUGCACGAAAGCGUGGGGAGCAAACAGGAUUAGAUACCCUGG
rnacentral:rRNA from 1 species